GGACUCGAACCCCGGUCUGGUGAUUGGAAGGGAAGUCGUGGAAAAUCCCACUGAGCCACUUG
rnacentral:sRNA from 1 species